AAUGAAGUGAAAGAAUUGGCAACAACAUUUUUGAUUUGGCCACUUUUUAGUGGCCCAUUGGCCAUUUGGCUAAUAUUUCUUUCCCUUUUCCUCUUGUUCCUUCGUCCAUUCUCCGUUUAUACCUUUUGGAUCGCGCACAGACAAAAUGUUUAUUUACUUUUUAAACAAUCUGUGGUUUUUCGACUACCCUCAAAUCAAUCGCGUUGUUUUUUUUACCUAAUUUGGUGAUUGAAUCUUAUAAUAGGUGCGACUCAAACACCAAAUAUAAAAUAGUGUUUUUUCGCUAAACACUACGAAUAAGUUUUAUUUAAGUACGUAAGUAUUUGUUCUAAGUGAUUAUUUAUUUAUAUAUUAUGCGUAAAUUCACAGAUAAAUAUUCUCUUAAUAGUAUUGUAGGAGUAUUACGUGAUAGUAAAAAAAUAGAUACGCAUGCUAUGUACUGUUACUCAUCGAUGACACCGAUAUAACUUAAUUAACAACAUUUACAAAACUCUAAAAUAAUUCUUUGACUCUAAUAUUUAAUUUCAACAACAGGUGGUGCAAACGGGAAUUUUGCCUUGGAUAGUUCAAGAACUCGGCGCUUGGCGAUAUUUUUGCUAUGCCUAAAAAGCGAAAAUAGUGGUGCAAACGGGAAUUUUGGCUUGGAUAGUUCAAGAACUCGGCGCUUGGCGAUAUUUUUGCUAUGCCUAAAAAGCGAAAAUAGUGGUGCAAACGGGAAUUUCGGCUUGGAUAGUUCAAGAACUCGGUGCUUGGCGAUAUUUUUGCUGUUCCUUGGAGGCGAAAAGAAUGGAGGCAAGUGAUGAGCUUGGUCGACCACCAACGAAUUCCCGUCCAUGACAUGAAGCGGAUGAUGACUAAGAGAUCGAACAAUAAUUUUAAACGAUUAACCUAACAGUGGCAGCAACCUAAAGGCGAAAUUAAAAGAAAAACAGAUUGAAAAUGUUUUGAAAAAAAAAUGAAAGAUUGACAAACUUUAAAAACUUGAGAAGUUUUAAGCCAGAAAUCAUUAAAGAUUAAAAAAAAAUAACACCAAAAAGAAUACAAAUAGAGUAAAAAAAUAAUUAGUUGAAAACUCUAGUUGCUAUAGAAGUCUACUCGUUGGCCGUCCUUGAAUACAUGAAAGAAUGAUAUUGUUCUACAGUAGACUCUUAAUAACAUCAAAACUGCAUGAAUACGCCACUUUUUAUUUUCCAUUUGGCAAUUUGCCCACCCGUUCUUUUACCUAUUUUCUUCUUCUCUUUAUGUCUUUUUAUACUUUUCGGUCUCACGUCGCUACCAGCCAGUAACAUUAACAUCUUCUCUCGGCGUGGAGGCCAAUAAGUUCGCACAACUUUUUCAACCUGGCUCUAGCCAACGGUUUGGUAAAAAUGUCUGCCAACUGGAGAUCACUAGUUACUUUCUCAACUUUAAGCUGACCGCCAGUCGCUUACUCUCGAACAAAGAAAUGUCGAAUCCUUGUACGUUUAGUUCGUCUAUGAAACUCCGGAUUAUUCACCAAACGAAUUGCCGCUUCGUUGUCCAAUAAUAGUGUAGGUAUCCUCUUCAUAUAAACAAUAUCUUUCAUGAGACGUGUAAGCCAGAUGCACUCUCUAGCUCCUUCACUGGCUGCUACAACUUCUGCUUCCGUUGUGGAAAUAGCCACGCUUUGUUGUCUUUGGCCCAUCCAAGAAACAGCUCCGCCUGCAUACACAGUACUACAGAAGUAGAUCUUCCAGUGCCAACAUCCCCACCGUGAUCAGCAUCACUGAAACAUAACCACCAGUAAACCCUUCUUAUAGUUCCUUUUAUAUAGAAUGCCAAAAUCGGGACAGUACUUUAAGUAUCUCAGAAUGCGUUUCAAUCUGAUACAAUCUUUGACACUUGGAUUUUCUCACUCACACUGUAUGCAAUAUCUGGCCUAGUUCCGACCAUCAAAUAUGCUAGCGCUCCAACUACCUGUCUAAAAAUGUUAUCCACGUGUGUCUCAUUAUUAUUUACAGACUCAUUGUCUUUUAUUAUUGGUGUCGUAACAGUUCUACCGAAGAGUAUAAUCGGCGUCUGUGUUUAGCGUUUGUGGAAUAUGAAAAAGCCUUUGACUCUAUCGAGAUCUGGUCUGUUCUGGAAUCUUUGAAGCGAUGCCACGUCGAUUGGCGAUACAACCAAGUGCUGAGAAGUCUUUACAACGCCGCUACAAUGGCCGUCCAAGUCCAGAACCAGCGAUCUGAACCUAUCCCCUUGCAUCGAGGUGUGAGACAAGGGGACGUUAUAUCCCCCAAAUUGUUCACAAAUGCAUUGGACGAUAUGUUGCAAGACGCUGGACUGGACGAGGCGCGGCAUUAACAUAAAUGGCGAGUACCUCUCACACUUGUGAUUUGCAGAUGACAUCGUCAUCAUGGCGGAAAGGCUGCAAGAUUUGCAACAUAUGCUGAACGGCGUAGCUGAUUCUUCUCAACGCGUUGGUCUUCGGAUGAACCUGGAUAAAACCAAGGUUAUGUUCAAUGAACAUGUAAGUCCGGAACCAAUUGCAGUUCAAGGCAGCAUUCUCGAAGUAGUUAAGAAGUACGUUUACCUCGGGCAAAUUAUGCAAUUAGGUAAAAACAACUUCAAAAGAGAGGCCAACAGAAGAAUACAGUUGGGAUGGGCAGCGUAUGGGAAACUGCGUCAGGUCUUCACAUCACCAAAUCCAUAGAGUCUAAAGACUAAAGUCUUCGACCAGUGCGUCCUACCCGUCAUGACAUACGGUGCUGAAAAAUGGACAAUUACGGUAGGGCUGGUCCAUAAAUUUAAAGUUGCUCAACGUGCUAUGGAAAGGGCUAUGCUCGGAGUUUCUCUGAAAGAUAAAAUUCGUUACGAAGUGAUCCGACAGAGAACCAAAGUUACCGACAUAGCCCACCGCAUUAGCACGCUGAAGUGGCAAUGGGCCGGCCAUAUAACCCGUAGAACCGAUAACCGUUGGAGUAGACGAGUUCUUGAGUUGAGACCAUAGGUCGGAAAACCUCAGUCCACAGACUCAGUGGAGUGGUCGAUGAUCUUCGCAGGGCAGCUGGCAAGUGCUGGAUGAGAGUGGCCGAGGAUCGUGCUUAGUGGCGUGCCACGGGAGAGACCUAUGUCCAGCAGUGGAUUAGUAUAGGCUGAUGAUGAUGAUGAUGAUGAACAGCUCUACAAUUCUGCAUACCAAAUCUCUCAAUCAUUCUAUUGGUACAUGAAGUCUGGGAGAUCUUAAUUCCACCUUCUCUGGUUUCAAUUUCAAUACUCAGAAAGUAACUUGCUGGUUAUUUUAAAAUGACGCUUCAUUUCUUCGAGAAACUCAUCCAAUAAAGUUUGAUUUGAUCCGGCAAUCAGGCCAUAAUCAACAUAUAAAACCACAAUCAGAAUACCACCUUGAUUUUUCCUUAGAAAUAAGCAAGGAUCAGCAUUGCUUACUUUGAAACCAGUUUCUUUGAAGAAAUCCAGUAUACGACGGUUCCAACACCUUAGAGCUUGCUUCAAGCCAUAUAAACUCUUCUUUAAUAGACAUACUCGACCAGAGCCAUCGUCGUAUCCUUCAGGUUGUUUCAUGAAAAUCUCUUCAUCUAAUAAUCCAUAGAGAAAAGCGGUCGAAACAUCGAAAUGCAUCAAACACAUAUCCUCGCUUGCAGCUAUACUAAUUACAGCUCUGACGUGAACUGAUGAUAUACUGAUUUGAACGUUACCAUGAAUGUUGACAAUGAAGUGAAAGAAUCGGCAACAACAUUUUUGAAUUGGCCACUUUUUAGUGGCCCAUUGGCCGUUUGGCUAAUAUUUCUUUCCCUUUUCCUCUUGUUCCUUCAUCUAUUCUCCGUUUAUACCUUUUGGAUCGCGCACAGACAAAAUGUUUAUUUACUUUUUAAACAAUCUGUGGUUUUUCGACUACCCUCAAAUCAAUCGCGUUGUUUUUUUUACCUAAGUUGGUGAUUGAAUCUUAUAAUAGGUGAGACUCAAACACCAAAUAUAAAAUAGUGUUUUUUCGCUAAACACUACGAAUAAGUUUUAUUUAAGUACGUGGUGCAAACGGGAAUGUUGGCUUGGAUAGUUCAUGAACUCGGCGCCUGGCGAAAUUCUUUCUGAGCCCAACAAGAGAACAGGAUGGAAAGCAAGAGAUGGAUACCAGGUCGGACGUCAAAGGAGAUAUGGAAGCGGAGAAAGACGAGAAGAUAGAAACGAUUUUAUCUGGUGAUUACACGUUAACUGGGAUAUUCACUGACUUUUAUGACAAUGGGAUCAUUGCUGAAAAGAAAGAGGAAUUAAAAGAAAAGCGUUUACGGUACGGCCACAUCCAACGCUGUCCCGACGAUCAUA